rnacentral:rRNA from 1 species
UUUUUCCGAGGCACACGUUAAAGAUUGUUCCGCGUUGUGAGUCUAACAUYGGUUGCAURAACUUUUUACAACCGGUAGCGCUGGAUCCCUUGGCACGUCAUUCGAUGAAGACCGUUGCAAAUUGCGAUAAAGUGAUGUGAUGCGCAAGUCCACCACUUAUACGUGAAUCAUCGAGUUGUUGAACGCAUUGCACCGCGCCCUAAUCCGGCUGCGGUAUGCCCCUUUGAGCGUCAUUGUAUCCCUUCGGGAGUCCUUUUACAAGGACCCGAGYUCGGAGUCCUCGGUCCUCUCUGGAUCGUGUUCUCUCAGAUGCCUCGCGCCGAUCGCCUGAUGGGUCCUCUAAUGCCUAAGCGUGGAGUUCCUUCAGUCCRAGACGCGCUUGACCGGGUCUUGAGCCUGYGUCAUCAAGUCUGCCUAACCGGCGGUACUACAACGCAUGACCUCAUUGGGGUAGGACAACCCGCUAGAUCUUAAGCAUAUUAAUCAGCGGAGGAAAAGAAACUAACCAGGAUUCCCUCAGAA